rnacentral:rRNA from 1 species
GUCCAGACUCCUACGGGAGGCAGCAGUAGGGAAUAUUGCACAAUGGGGGAAACCCUGAUGCAGCGACGCCGCGUGAGUGAGGAAGUAUUUCGGUAUGUAAAGCUCUGUCAGCAGGGAAGAAAAUGACGGUACCUGACUAAGAAGCCCCGGCUAACUACGUGCCAGCAGCCGCGGUAAUACGUAGGGGGCAAGCGUUAUCCGGAUUUACUGGGUGUAAAGGGAGCGCAGGCGGCACGGCAAGUCUGGUGUGAAAGCCCGGGGCCCAACCCCGGGACUGCAUUGGAAACUGCCGGGCUGGAGUGCCGGAGGGGUAAGCGGAAUUCCUGGUGUAGCGGUGAAAUGCGCAGAUAUCAGGAGGAACACCGGUGGCGAAGGCGGCCUGCUGGACUGCGACUGACGUUGAGGCCCGAAAGCGUGGGGAGCAAACAGGAUUAGAUACCCCCGUAA